CGACCGCGACCCCAGGUCAGGCGGGACUACCCNGUGAGUUUAA
rnacentral:rRNA from 1 species